CAGCAUUGUGGUGUCCUGGGCACACACUGAGGCAUUGUCAGGCUUUGCAAGGACUCAGGUCCUGUAGCAGCACAGGAAGAGUCACAUAGUCCUUGGGGUCUGCCCUGAACAUGGUCAUGCUGCUGCAUGUGAUGGUGCCAUUCCACACCACAGUCUGCAGUGAAACCUUUGCAGCAGGACAAGAUGGAGCCAGCCAGCAUCCUUGUGAGGCUGCUCAGUUGCACAGAGGUAGCCAGACAGUAUCCUCUCAUGAGGAAGAAUCAAUUUGCAAGGUAUUGAACAAACCCUUGGGUUUUGCUGCGGAGAGGUGACCAACCAUGAAAACAACUGACAUGACAAAACCACAAGAAUCAUCCAUGCUCCUCCUGUCUGAAUAUAAACAGCACAAAUUAGGACUUGGACAACAAAAGCCUUGGCCAAAGAUCACAAGGACUUCACAUACCUGCAGAACUGUGGAGAAAGCUGGGGAGGAUUACUAGGCUGAGUAACAGUCUAAAGAAGGGUUCUGUUAUACUUGGGAUUUUGAUGUUUGACAGUAGUUGAAUUAUACAGUCUGAAGCAUGAAGUAUCAGCCUGCUUUCAUGACAGCAGAGCAAUGCAUAAGCCACCGUAUUAACUCUGUGGCAAAACACAGAGGUUCCACAUCCUCAUCCCUGCCCAAGUGAAUGAAUGAGAAAGAUGGGCAUUUCAGCACUCAGAAUCCUCCCUGGCUCCUUCUGGGCCUACAGCCUGGGCUACAAAGCCAGUGUACCAGUGUAUACGUGUUUGCUGGAGGAACUGUUACUGGGCAACGGUAUCCUGAGUGACACAACACAUCGCCAUGCCUCACAGAAUGUCGGGCACACCGCUUGCUGCAGCCAGGCCCUUCCUCCCACUGAGCUGUGUUGGCAUCAAACUCAGAUCAGCCUUGAACACUCAAAGAAAAACCUGACUGCUCUGAAUAUUGCCUGAGGAAUUAGAAAGGUCUUUCUUGGAAACAGAAGAAUGAGAUGAAACAAUCAUCUGUAGAGCAUGGUCUUUGUCCCAGAAAAUACAGAGAGAAAGAAGAUCCUGGAGUUGAACUGAAGCUGAGCUGACCAUGGACUUUGUCCAAAGAGUAGAAUGUGCUUAGAAACCUUCCUAUCUCUGUGAUGGGCCUUAUUAGCCCUUGGAGGAGCUGGCGUGAGUUGGAUGGCCGUAACGCAUCCUGUUGUGCUGUACCAGAAAUCUCAGCUUGUGGAGAAGGACAUCUCAAAGCAGAGCUGGGAAUGAAUCUGCUGGCUGUCCAGCCAGCCCCUGUGACUUCCAAAGCAUUAACACUGCAGAGACUGGAACGAUAUUUGAACUACUUUAGGAUUCAGAUGACUGCAAAACCGAAACCUCUGUGGGCUCACAGCUGCUCCACCACAUUUGCAGCACAGUCUGUGCAACAGCCCAUCGCCGAUGGAAACAUAAACAAGGGCUGUCAGAACAUUUCUGUUCAAAGGAGUUAAGACCCAUUCUGCAGGCCCUAGGGCCUGAACAGCAUCUCCACCUGGAUUUUCCAAGGUUUCUUGUCUUUUCUUGAAAGUGGAAUCAGGAAGAAGAUCUCUGGGAGGCAGGACCCUGACAGGGGCUUCAUCAUCUCAUUUAUGGCUUCAGUGAGCUGUGUGGUAGGUACAGUUUGUCUGUUGUCCCAUGGUGGCAGGUACACUGCCUUAGCCAUUCUGUACUAUGGUUGUAAGGUUGUUCUGAUGUACUUAAAUCAAUGAAGUACA